CAUUUUAGUGCCAUUUUCAUCAUUACAAUUGUCUUUUAAAAAUUGCUGUAGUAUUUCAAUUGUUGAAAUCACCUCUUUGAAUUGGUUCUUUUAUGCCUUAGUGCACAGGGAACAGAAACGUUUACUACUUAAGUACUCUCAAAUACUUUAAAGUGAUAUAUGACAUUCUUUUGAAGUGAUGGAGGCCUAAGCCAAUCACAAGAUGACAGCAUUGUGGGAACAAGGCACUGUAGGCAUAGUCUGGCUAUAAUGCCCAUCCCUGGAACACUCUCAUCCAGCAGCCCUGAUCUCCUGCAGCCUACCACCAGUAUGUUGGAUUUUUCCAAUCCUUCAGCUGUUGGUUUUUAUUAUAUCCCUGAUCAAGUUAUAAGAGUUUUCAAAGUGGAUCAGCAAAGUUGCUACAUUAUCAUCAGUAAAGACACCACAGCUAAAGAAGUAGUUUGUCAUGCUGUUCAUGAAUUUGGUUUGACCGGUGCAUCCGACACAUAUUCUCUCUGUGAAGUUUCUGUUACUCCUGAGGGUGUCAUAAAACAGAGAAGACUUCCAGAUCAGUUCUCCAAAUUAGCUGAUAGAAUUCAACU
rnacentral:sRNA from 1 species